rnacentral:lncRNA from 1 species
UUUCCCUUAAAAUUUUGAUAAAUGAAGCUGUCAGAGGGGAUAAGAUCACGAUUUUCAAUUUUGUUUACUUUUUUUUUUUAACUGUUUUAACUUUCAAAAUCCAGUUCACGAAGGCUGCAAAUGUGAGCUCUGAUAAGAUCGCAGUGCUGCCUGCCAUGAGGGAACAAUCCGUUUUUCAUGUGUAACUGGUAAUGGAAGAGAGAGACA